rnacentral:rRNA from 1 species
UAGCAUAUCAAUAAGCGGAGGAAAAGAAACUAACAAGGAUUCCCCUAGUAACUGCGAGUGAAGCGGGAAAAGCUCAAAUUUAAAAUCUGGCGGUCUUUGGCUGUCCGAGUUGUAGUCUGGAGAAGCAUUUUCCGCGCUGGACCGUGUACAAGUCUCUUGGAAUAGAAUAUCAUAGAGGGUGAGAAUCCCGUCUUUGACACGGACUGCUAGUGCUUUGUGAUGUGCUCUCAACGAGUCGAGUUGUUUGGGAAUGCAGCUCAAAAUGGGUGGUAAAUUCCAUCUAAAGCUAAAUAUUGGCGAGAGACCGAUAGCGAACAAGUACCGUGAGGGAAAGAUGAAAAGCACUUUGGAAAGAGAGUUAAACAGUACGUGAAAUUGCUGAAAGGGAAACGCUUGAAGUCAGUCGCGUUGUUCAGAAUUCAGCCUGGCUUUGGCCUGGUGCAUUUUCUGUUUGACGGGCCAGCAUCAAUUUUAAUCGUUGGAAAAAGGUCUUGGGAAUGUGGCAUCUUCGGAUGUGUUAUAGCCCUUGGCUGCAUACAAUGAUUGGGAUUGAGGAAUUCAGCACGCCUUUAUGGUCGGGGUUCGCCCACGUUUCGUGCUUAGGAUGCUGGCGUAAUGGCUUUAAACGACCCGUCUUGAAACACGGACCAAGGAGUCUAACAUGCCUGCGAGUGUUUGGGUGGAAAACCCGAGCGCGUAAUGAAAGUGAAAGUUGGGAUCUCUGUCGUGGAGAGCACCGACGCCCGGACCAGACCUUCUGUGACGGAUCCGCGGUAGAGCAUGUAUGUUGGGACCCGAAAGAUGGUGAACUAUGCCUGAAUAGGGUGAAGCCAGAGGAAACUCUGGUGGAGGCUCGUAGCGAUUCUGACGUGCAAAUCGAUCGUCAAAUUUGGGUAUAGGGGCGAAAGACUAAUCGAACCAUCUAGUAGCUGGUCUGCGA